CCUCCUGCUUUGGAUUGACGCUGUUUGUGAGAAAGUGGAGGUGGAUCAGCUGCAGCUGACGCUGGUUUGUUGUUGCUUCUGUUGUGGCUGUACAGUGGCUCCAGAUACAGGAUGCAGGACACUGAAUCCAGUGUCUCAUGUGGCCCUGCAGCUUCUCCUCAGAAUCCUCAGAGGCCGACUCAGAAUCACUCCCACUGGGAAGACGUGCGAAGGAAGGUCCACCCGGCCGGUCCAGGAGCUCCGGUCCAGCAGAGCAGCGUCAGGAUGGAGACGCAAGCAGGCGAGUUAACCAGAGAGCCGACACGUUCACACCGACAGCUUCCCUCCAGAUCCCACUUUAUGUCUUCAACUAGGACUGGAGGUCAUUUGUUUGGAGCUAAACUCUGCUGGGUUCUUUCUGUAGUCCAUCCUUUUAAUGAAGUGACAAAGUUCUUCACAAAAUGAAAUGGAACAAUCACAAAAUCAUUACAAUUAGAAAACCAGAUUAAAACUAUUUGAUUCAAUCUGGUUCAUUUUUGUUGACUCUUUUUAAAAUGCAGAAUAAAUAGAUUUCCAUGAAAUAUCACGAUGUUCAGCUUAGAAUUGGGUGAUUCUCCUGAUGGAACUGAACAUCACAGAUGACUAGUCCAAGUCCCAUCAGAAGGUUGAAAAAUCCAACGGUUCCUUCUGAUUUUACAGCUUGUGACGCUGGUAAACGGUGUCUUUUUUUUCUAAAGGCAACAGCUGGUGUUUUUUUGGGCUUGAAAGAUUGAACCUAAAUGCUUUUCUCCAACAAACUGCUGAGCUGCUGCACAGUGAAAUCUCUGAGUGGAGCUCAGGAUGAAACCCUCAGAGCUGUUUUACAUAUGGUAGACACUUAGACGAAGCAGCAAAUGUGUUGGAAAGGAGUUCUGUUCUCAAAGAUGUUUUAGCAGACAGGACUUUUCUAACGGAUGAAGAACUUGUACAAGCCCUGGCAAAAAUGAUGGAAUCACCGGUCCUGGGGGAUGUUCAUUCCCUUGUUUGAUUUUGGAGAAACAAAAAAGCACAUCACAGACAUGCCACAAAACUAGAGCCAUUUAAAAUGGAAACUUUCUGGCUUUAAGAAACACUAAAAGUAAUCAAGACGAAAAAAUUGCGGUGGUCAAUAACAACUGCUUUUCAGGUCAAACAGAGAAAAAAAUUGAUGGAAUCACUCAAUUCUGAGGAAAAAAAUGGAGUCAUGAAAAGCAAACAAACAGAAAAACACUCCAAGACACCACCAGCACUUUGUUGCGCCACCUCUGGCUUUUCUAACAGCUUGCGGUCUCUGAGGACUUAACGAGUGACUCUUCAGAACUCUUCAUCAAUGUGGCUCCAACUUUCUCCGGUUGCUGUUGCCAGAUCAGCUUUGCAGGUCGGAGCCUUGUCAUUGACCAUUUCCUUCAGUUUCCACCACAGAUUUUCAAUUGGAUUGAGAUCCGGACUAUCUGCAGGCCACGACAUUGACGUCAUGUGUCUUUCUUCAAGGACAGUUUUCACAGUUUUUGCUCUGUGACUCUAAGAUGCGUCAUCGUCUUGAAAAAUGUCUUCGUCGUCCCCAAACGUCCUUUCAAUCGAUGGAAUAAGAAAAGUGUCCAAAAUGUCAACGUAAACUUGUGCAUUUAUUGAAGACGUGAUGACAGCCGUCUCCCCAUUGCCUUUGCCUGACACGCAGCCCCACAUCAUCAAUGACUGUGGGAAUCUGCAUGUUUUCUUCAGGCAGUCGUCUUCAUGAAUCUCAUUGGAACGGCACCAAACAAAAGUUCCAGCAUCGUCACUUUGCCCAAUGCACAUUCGCGAUUAAUCACCGGAUACGACUUCCAUCCAGUCGUCCACAGUCCGCCGUUGCUUUUCCUCAGCCCGUUGUAACCUUGUUUUGUUCCGUUUAGGUGUUAACGAUGGCUUUCGUUCUGCCUUUCCGUAUGUAAAUCCCAUUUCCUUUAGGCGCUUUCCUACAGUUCGGUCACAGACGACGACUCCAGUUUCCACCCAUUGGUUCCUCAUUUGUUUUGCUGCAUUUUCUGUUUUCAAGACACGUUGCUUUAGGUUUUCUGUCUUGACGCUUUGACGUCUUCCUGGGUCUGCCAGUAUGCUUGCCUUUUACAACCUUCCCAUGGUCCAGAUUUUAGACACAGAUGACAACAAGCAGCAUCUUUUGCAACAUUCCGUGAUGAUUUACCUUCUUGAAGAAGUUUGACGAUCCUUUCCUUUGUUUCAACGGACAUCUCUGGUGUUGGAGCCGUGAUUCAUGUCGAUCCGCUUGGUGCAGCAGCUCUCCGAGGUGUGAGCGCUCCUUUUCGACCGCAGACUAAUGAGCACAUUUAAUCAGACGCAGGUGUUAGUUUUGGAUAUGGAAAUUUGCAGGGUGAUUCCAUCACUUGUUCCUCAGAACUGAGUGAUUCCAUCAUUUCCCCCUCUGCUUGAUCUGAAAAAGCAAUUGUUCUUGAUAACCACUAUUUUUUUUUCUUUCUUUUUUCUUUCUUUGAGCGUUUCUUACAGCCAGAAAGUUUCCAUUUUAAAUGACUUUAGUUUUGUGGCAUGUCUGCGCUGGAAAAAAUGCUGCUCUCAAAACAGGAAAAAAACCUUAUUUCAAGAAACUUUUAAGUUGAAAUAAGUGAAAAAAAAUCUGCCAAUACAACAAGUGAAAUACGGCUUGGUCAGAUUUCGUGAAAUAAGAUGUGAUAUUUACAAUCUUCAUAUCUCAAAAUUAGUUAUUAGUUAUUUUCAGCUACAUUUUACCGGCAUUGUCAAGCUUAGGUGUCUUAAAAUAAGCUAGAUAUGCUAAAAAAAAUAACAACCAGUUUUUCACUCAAAAAUAGAUUUUCGCUUUCAUGUAACCUCCUAAUUUGAGAUGUAUUAACCCUCUUCAUUUAUCCUUAAAAGUUUCCCUUUGAAAAAAAUCCGACCAAAUUUGGCAAGAAAAUUUUUGUAAAUAUUUUCCAAAAAUUAGUAAAACUCUUCCAAAAAAUCCUAAAAAUAUCUAAAAUGAUUACAUGUACACCAGUAGAACUUCUGAUAUUUUCUUUUAGAACAUUCACAGAAAAAUCAAGCAAAAUCCAGCGAAAUUCCCUUGAUUUUGGUUGAUUUUUAUGUGAAUGUUCUUAAAGAAAAUUUUGUAAUUAUUUUCUUUCCCACCAAUGUUCAAAAAUUCACCGAAAAUGUUGAAAAUGUGAACAUCUGUUGGGGAUUUUGAAUGGGGACGAAUUACAGCGAGGUUUUUAAAAUUGAUUGUUUGCUGUUCUCUCCCAUUUGUGACAUGAAGAAGGUGACUUGUGUGGCUUUGAAAUUGUGCUAAAAUGUCAAAAUGAGUGAUCAGGAGAAGAGUGUGACUUUUUGACAUUGUGUGUUUUUUUUAGCAUGUUCUUUAAAACUCAUAGACAGAUUAGCUUGUAUCUAUGAGUUUUAAAUCUUUUGGAGAUUGUUUUUUUUUUUUUUUUCUUUUAGUGUUCAGGUGAUCUCCUUAUGGAAUAGAAGAAAACCCAGUAUGUAAGUAUGAAGUACCUAUAGUCCAGAGGUAGUGGCAGCAGUUGGAGGAUGGGCGAGCAGGGUUUGAUCCCCUACCCUGGUGAAGCUUUUUCUUAAAUUUGGGCCAAAAAUCACCAAAAAUAGGGGAAAAAAUGUAAAAAAAAAAAAAAAAAAAAAAGGCUCUUUUUUUUUCCCGCCUUCUUCUUCUACUCCCCUUCCCUCUUCAGGUCCAUGUCACCAUCACUGUCUCUGUCACCUUGGUUUCCAGACUUUGGUUCCAGUUGUCGUUUAGCCAUUUGUGUUGCUCCUUGUUUGGUUCCAGUUGUCGUUUAGCCAUUUGUGUUGCUCCUUGUUUCUCCAGAGUUUGGUUCCAGUUGUUAUUUAGCCAUUUGUGUUACUCCUUGUCUCACUUUGGUUCCCAGAGUUUGGUUCCUGUUGUUGUUUAUCCUGCUUGUGUUCAGUCCUUGUAUUUGAACCAGCAACGCUCCGCAUCAGAGUCCACUACCAUACCGCUUGGCUAUUGUGGUCCGUACUGACUUUCAGCUUUAGUUUCAUUUUAUCAUGUAAAGCAUGGUACUGAACACGUCCAAAAAGGCUUUGAGUCGGGAUUCGAACCGCAGCUCUCCCGUAUGACGACCACAGAACUUAUGUCUGCGCUAUCUUUCACACAAGGUUUCUGGUAGAGUUUGUGUUAGUGAUCGUACCAAGAGGCUCUCAGUCAGCAAAAAGACGAAAAAAAAUAGCCCUGAGCUGAAUUUGAACCAAGAACCUUCACGUUUAAAGGCACAGAACUUACCACUGCACCAUCCUUCUUACCAGGUGUAGCCCAUGUAUUUGUUAAAUGAUACUAUAAAGAAGUAUUAAAGAGGUGAAAGUACAAACAGCGGAUCUGGAGGGGGAUUUGAACCACAGACCUUCAAUAUUAGAGGCACAUAACUUACCUCUGCACCACCUCUCUCACAAGGGCCAACUUCAAGACUUUUGUUGUAAUGAUGGUACCAAGAGGUUCUCAAGAAGCCAAAGAACAAAAAGAGUCUUCAUGCUGGCUUUAAACCAUAAGCCUCCUGAGCAAGAAGCACAGAACUUAUCUGUGCACCAUCUGUCUUACAAAGCGUAGCUCUUAGUUUUUUUAAGUGAUGGUACAAAGAAGUAAUAAAGAGGACAAUGGACAAAUAAAAAAAGGUCCUGAGGAGGAUUUGAAUCAUAAGCCUUUGACAUGAGAGGCAUAAAAUUUGUCUGUGCAUCAACCAUCCCACAUGCUGAAGCCGUAACUAUGCUUAAAUGAUGGUACCAGUAAAGAGUGGAGCGGGCAAAGGCUAGACAAAAGGUCUGAAGGGAGAUUUCAACCACAAACCUUCAACAUGAGAGACACAAAGCUUAUGUCUGCACCAUCUUUCCCACCAAAAUUGUCUCUAACUUUGCUUAAAUAGUGGUACCAAUUAAUAUUUGCGAGGACAAAGUACAAAUAAAUGCCCAUGGGGGGAUUUGAACCAUAUCCCUUCAACACGAGAGGCGCAAAGCUUACCUCUGCACCAACUUUCCCACAAGGUGCAUCAGUAACGACGCUUAAAUGAUGGUGCCAAUUAGUAUCGGCGAGGACAAGUCCAACUGAAAGGGCCUCAUGGGUUUUUUCACCAUAAACCGCCAACAAAAGAGGCUGAAAACCGAUCUCUGCACCAUGAUCCGCACAAGGUCUCUGAGUUUGUUUUAAUGAUGGUACCAAGAGGUUCUCAAUAAGCCAAAAGGACCUUCAGCUGGAUUUAAAGCAAGAACUUCCUUUGCAAGAGGCACAGUACAUAUCUCUACACCAUCUUUCUUGCAAAGUUCAUGCUUGAGUUUCUUCUUGUGAUGGUACUAAGAGGUUUUCAUGAGGACAAAGUACAAAAGCUGGAUUUGAACAGUGAACCUCCUGCAUAAGGAAACAUUAGACUUUCCUCUACCCCACAACAUCUUAUACUUGUUCCUGCUCUAGUUUCUUCCUAUCGUGGUGCCAGGAAGAUUAUAGAGAACAAACUGCAAAAUGUUUCGAAAGAUUGGUCUUGAACCAGAAACCUUCAAAAUGAAGAAGUUGUAGCAUCUCCACUAAAUCACCGACUCGACCGGUUGAGCAAGUCAACGUAUCGUUGCCUUGGAGAGUCUGAUGGUCUGAAUCUUGUGUUUGUUUUGUUGCUUGACUUGAAAUGGAGAAGUAUUCACAAACAAGAAAGUUUGCUUGGAUUAGAUCCAGAGAUCUUUUGAGUAAAAGUCAGCUUGUUUAAGCUCCGGACUAUCGGAUCAAACCGUAACGGCUGAAUCUGGUGUCCAGUCUUUGUGGUCCAACCUCCACACCUGAGCAUCACGGUGAAGCUACGAUGGAGCUGCAUGAUUGAUAAGAUAAGAUAAGAUAAACUUUAUUUGUCCUGCAGGAGAUUUUUUUUGCUCCAGUACAAUACAAUCAAUAAAGGUCAGUGAAAUAUACACAAUUACACAGAGGUCAGUAGUAAAACAGAAAUAAAAACAAGAAUACAAAGUACAAAAUGUAAAGGGUCUCAGUGUUUGUGUGAAGUGUCUUAGCUGAAGGAAUAGUGGCUAAAAAAUAAAUAAAAUAGAAAAUAAAAUAACACACUUCCAAAAUGUAAACUGUAGCAAGAACAAGAAACGGAUAAACAGGAAGUGAAGUGAACACAAACGUAAACAGAUGUACAGAAAUAUUGCUCUUGAACAGUGGUAAUACAGAUAGUGAGACAAUCAAGGAAAAGUGUGAUGAUGCUGCACAUGGAAAUAAGUCCGUUGAUCAUGUAUCCCUCCUGCAGAAGAGGGAGGAAGCGUACAGUCUGAUUUCCACAGGUAGGAAAGACCUCCUGUGUGGUUCUGUGGUGCGUCUCAGUGGUCUCAGUGUGUGACUGAAGGAGCUCUGACAGGACGUCAGCGUGGCAUGCAGGGGGUGAGAGGUGUUGUCCGUGAUGCUGAGCAGCUUCCUCAGCAUCUGACGUCUCCACCACAGACUCCAGCUCAACCCCCAGGACAGAGCCAGCUCUCCUGAUGAGACUGUUAAGUCUGUUAGUGUCGGCUGCCUUCAGCCUGCAAACUGCAGCGUGGAAGCGGACGCUGGAGACCACCGAGCGAUAAAACAUCUGCAGCAUGUUUCUGCACACAUCCGGCACGGUUGUUUAAGAACUGAGAAGCUCCUCACUGCAUCAGCUAGGGUUAAAGAAGUUGUUGCAGCUGAAAUACAUUCAUCACUGCAGUAAUUAUCCAAUGGAAGGCUCUUACCUAUUUGCUGCAUUAAAUCCAGGCGGGGACUUUUUUUGGCCAGACAGUCUGUCUAUCUAUCUAGCUAUCUAUCUAUCUAACAGUUGACUGGUAGUUUGCUACACUUGUGGAUCCAGCAGCAGCCUCCACAUGUAUUUAUUUUUUCUUCUAUUAUGAAUAAGGAAUGACUUUUGGAUCAAGAUGCAAACAGAGUCUGACAAACUACAAAUGCAACUGAUGUCCUCUGGAAACAAGUGCAGAGCCGCUGACAUACUGGACCACCCACAACACUGUUUACCCAAACCUGUGUAAUGUAGCCAAACAUUUCCUGUGUACCCCAGCCUCAUCUGUGCCGUGUGAACGGGGUUUUUUCCAAGUCUGGGGAAAUAGUCUGUAAAAGAAGAAACCGCUCGCGUCGAAGAACAGUGGAUAAACUGUUUCUUAAUAAAAACUCAUGACCAGUUCCAUAAGCACACCCUCUUUACCAAUAAACCCCAAGACGUACUACCAAAAUCCAUCAAAUAAUCUGUAUUUUUGUGUCGACUGCACUUGAUUUUAUUUACCACUAGAUGUCCUACUGGAGCUCUGUGUGUCAUUGAAGCAUUGUACAAAGUAUUAAAUAAAUUUCAGUAUAUGGUCCAAUACUUUUUUUCCUGUGUUAUUUCAUAUUAUUGCACAUAAUUUAAUUUAUGGCCAUUUGUGUUUUGAUUUCUUUGCAUGUGUCAACUGCAUGGGUUGUUACCUACAUCUUGUAAAAAUAUCAAGUCAAUAGCACCUUUAGAAAUAUAUUUACUCAGGAAACUGGUGAUGUGUUCAAUACUUAUUUCCCCCACUGUAUUUUAGUCCUUAGUCCAUUAAACUAACAUGGACUUAGUCACGGCCGGCCCAAGCCUUCAGUGGGCCCUAAGUGAAAUUUACCUCGGGGGCCCCACAUGAACAACUUCAGUGCAAAAUGUGAAUAUAUGUCAACAGUGUUUCCCUUUGGUUAAAAUGGCUGUGAGGUGGUGGGUUGCGCCACAGGCGCGAAGCAACUAGGGGGGUCCGGGGGCAUGCCCCCCCCCCGGAAAAAUUUUGAAAAUCAAGAUGCAAAAUGGGGCAUUCUGGCACAAUUUGGAGCACAUUUUGUUGUAUUUGUAGCCAUUUCCAAAAACUAAAUUAAAUAAAAUUUUCAUGUUUCUUUUCUAAAAAUUAGUGAUAGGGAGAAAAUAUGACAAAUAUAAACCCACUUGUCCUUGCGAUCAAAACAUGUCAACUAGUCCAGUCUACUAUAUUCUGGUCAGAUUUCCACAAGCCAUUCCAAAAUGCCACAUCAGUUCUUAUUACAAAUUUGAAAAAGAUGACAAAGGACUUGAAUCUGGAAUCAAGUGGUGACUUUUACUUUUUUUCUAAAAACAACUACAUGUUAGGUACCAAAUUCCCACUUCAUUUUUAUUUAUAAUAAAAAGGUUAUGUCAUGACCUUCAUUUUACUUAAAAACGUGAAAGAAAACUUCAACUCUGGGUUAACAAUUGGUUUUCUGAAGGAGUUAGUUCUGUUUUCAAAACUGUUACCUUUCUGAACACAGAACUAGAAUUUGAACAUCAUGCAGGAAAUCAUACUGGUAGUCAUUUUUAAGCCCCAAAAUUAUAAUUCAUGGCAUGUAUUUCAGCAGUUUUUAUGCUUUUACUUUACAUCAAAUGCUUCUUUACUUUCACUUCACUGAAUUACUUUUACAUUUAUUGGGGUAAAUUUUGACUCAAUUUACUUUUACUCAAGUAAUGUAAUCAAGUUCUUUGAUCAUUACUGACUAUGUUGAUGUUGGAAGUUCAUUUAGAUGUUUUUUUUAAAAAGUUUCCUUUAUCUUUUAACAGAAAUUACCUGUAAGGUUGCUUAGCUUACUUUUUAUUACAAAUGAUUGUAAAACAGAGUGUAAAAGUACAGAUUGGCAUGCCAGAAAAACAUAUUUUCAUAUUUGAAAAGGCACAUGACAUGUUUAUAUUAUUAUACAUGGAAGAUCUUUUCCAAAAGGACAAUUCAAAAUAUUUUGAUUUUAUAACAUACAUAAAAAAACAAGUUCUCUAGAACAAUGGUUCUCAAUCCUGUUCCUCAGGAUCCACAGUCCUGCAUGUUUUAGAUGCUUCCCUGCUCCAACACACCUGAUUCAAAUGAUCAGCUCGUCAUCAGGCUUCUGCAGAGGCUUGAUGACGAGCUGAUCAUUAGUGUUCAAGAGCAGUGGCUCUAGAACACUAAAAUCUUUGCUUUCUUUUUGCUUUUUCUGCUCUAUUUCUCUUUUCAUCUGUGUGUAAUAAUGAACCCGCAAAUGUGAGUCGCGCUGUGUACGUUAAAGCUGUGUAUCGAGAACGGAAGGAUGGAUAUUGGUUGUUUGUUGGACAAAUGUGUUUAUAUUACCCGCUGUGGUAAUCACAUCUGAAAGUGGUUUAUACCGGCGGAUUCAUGAGAAUUUAAGCUUUCCAUCGGUGUAUAAUGUUUCUAUCAUCGAGUUGGCAGUGUCGUUCUAUUUUGAAAAAUGCUUAUGUAAAUAUCAAAACGGCCCACCCGCAGGCUGCUGAACCUUAACGGGUUUUAAUUCCGGUUAUGUUUAGAGUCGAGGAUUUAGAUCAUUUUGGGUUAAGUGAAGGGAUUUGUUAUAUAUUAAAGGUUCGAAAAUGUAAUUGCAAUUACCAAAUAUCCAACCGGAGGAGAAAAAGGCACUGUGGCAAAUAAGACUCAGACUGAGCCCUAAACUUGCGAUGCUCACAACAUUUAUCAAAACAAAAAAGUCCUACAACCUACCUUUAUCCUUGUUUUUCUUUUCCUGCUCCUCCAACCGUUUUCUCUUUCUUUUUUGUGCCCCUGAGAGGUACAUUUUCUUGGACGGCAACAUUUCUGUUUGCUUCUGUCCGCCAUUGAGCAAUGACACUGUCACUGAACUUGCGCAGCCGCUAAGGUAUUCUGCCGCAGGAGUAACUAGGUCCACUUAUUGAUACCAUCGAAGGUUGACAUACUUGGCAACCUAGCUGGCAUUAGAAAAUUAUACCAAAAUUAUUGUUGUACAACCCGGAACAAUGGUUAUUCAUUGUUUUGUUUUUUUCUAAAUUUUUUUACAAUUACACUUGCUUUUUAUUAAGGACUCUGGGGGGCCCCCUGGUGGUGGUGGGCCCUAAGCGACCGCUUAACUCACUUAUGCCUUGGGCCGGCUCUGGACUUAGUGCUAACUUCAUACAAAUAGAGAUUCUUUCUUCCUUAUUAAUGUGCACCAUUUAUGAACUACACGUCACACAAGAUGAACAAAGUUUAAGUGUUGUCACUGAUUGUAAUGGUUCUCCAAAUAUUUCUGACAAAUUAGAAAGCCUUUGUAAUCACAAAUAUUUCACCUAUUUGUUGAAGGUGAAAACACCCAAAGUGACGACUAAAAAGCACACGAAGAGAAGCGAUAAUUGUUUGUUCAACUCGGUGGUGACUGAGAAGAAGGAGAUUUUGCUACAACAGGGAUAGUAGGGUCACUAGCUUCAUCAGCACAUGCUACACUGUACGCCGCCAUUGUUGUUGUUGUUGCCGCAUGUGGCGUAUGCGUGUCAAUGAAGUUAUGAAACUGCGCAUGCGUGUCAAUGAAGAUACGAAACUAUGGCGCAAGCGUAUCUGAAAAGUAGCGGAGAGCCAGUAAACAUGGAGCUGCGGCUUUUCAAAAUCUUUCCACUCUGGAACCUGGUUUUAAAAAUGAUCGUUUACAGUAGUGAUGUUACGCUCGAGCCAGUUUGCUCGACACAGUGCUGAGCUUUUGAAGCGAAAGUGUUUCGAGACGGUGGCUGAAUCCCAAACCACCCCGUACACACUCUCCCUCCACUACCGAGUGUCACUCCAAAAGAAGUCACACUCGCAGCUGUGGAGGACACCUAUUAUUGAAGGGGGAGGGUAUAAAUACGAUCGUCAGGAAUGGGACGCCCUGUCGCCUCACCGGAAAACGGAAGACGUCAUUGCCAUGGUAACACAAAGACGCCUACUGUGCAUGGCUGUAGCGCUGUGGCACAGGUUGCAACUAACAAGGAUCGCUGCUGCUUCCAGAAGAUGAAAGCAUCCCACUUUUUUUCACACAUGUUUUCCAAUCCUAUUAUCUGGCAUUUCAAAUCCAACAAAUGAAUAAAUGAAUUCUGUCAGUUGUGUUCAAAUUUUAAGGUGUCAGGGGGUGCACAAUUAAAUCAGACGUCAGCAGAGAAGAAGAUUUGUUUCUUUUGUUUUAUCUUUUUACACCACUCUUUUUGUGAUGUUCUGUCAGUGUGAAAAAGGCGUGGGAGAAAUAAUGGACGCAUGUGGAACUCACAUCGAUAUGUUGUUUCCUCCUCCAUUUCGACGUUGCACUUCCUGAAAAAGUUGUCGAGAGUGAGCAUCGAUCCAGACUCGCUAUUUAAGGGCUGAACAGUCCACUCCCCCUCCGCACUACGCGGUUUGGGACGGCCCUUAAUAUGGAGGACCCUCCACGGGAACGCGCAAACGGAGGGGUAGUGUGUAGGGAUAGUGUGUAGGGGGCGGUUUGGGAUUCAGCCGGUGUUUCGAUCCCUGCUUCAGCAGGCCCACAAUCAUGUGACUAUCGAGAGCGAGGCCUCGUUACGUCACAUCGCGUGUCGCGGUGCUUCGCGUGAACUUUGAAGGGGUCGGACAUUUCAAUCUGUCCAGGUCUUAAAAGACAUAGGGGUCUGAUUCAUUCCUCAAAUUGUGGGUUUUUGAGAGGAGGAGAUCACACCAGCGCAUUUGCCAUUUGUCAUUUUGAGAGAAGUUAGGGAGAGUAUACAUUUAGUUAGAACUUAGUUUAGAUAUAUCUAGUUGCAUUAAAUACAUUAAAUAAUACACAGAUACAUAAGCAUAGAUUCACUCAUACACACACAGAGAUUCAUAGAAACACACUACACAUAUAUGCACACAAACAUACAUAUAUAACGUUUUAAAACAUUUAUUGCAAGCAUAGGCGUCAGUUUAGGGGGGGAAGGUGGGGACGUGUGCCCCCCACUUUUUGUCAGGGGUCAUUUUGUCUCCAACACAUUCAAAUUCUUCACAUGUAAGCCGUUGUAAACCCAGUUAUUUUCAGCAGUAUAGAAAAUUCCGACGCUCCUGAACGCACCAUCAGCACUCGGCCGAGAGUUGCACAGACAUGCAGCACACCUUCCUGAGGUUAAAAAAAACGUGCAGAUGCUAAAUUUGCACCCGUGCCAAGUGGAAGCUCCGACCAGAGGCGUGCAGGGGCAAAAUUUCGGCCUGAGAAUUAGUACUAUAGCGGCCCACAGACCACUCUACCUGUGUGUACUGAUAGCUCAACAGGUUGAGCCUCCGCCUUUGGUACGGUGGUUGUGAGUUUGAGCCCGGUUUGAGGUAUUUUGCCGCCGUUCUUCGACAUUUUCUCAAAGUGCUGUGGUCUCCAUCCCCCCCACUUUUAAAAACAAACUGAUGCCCUUGAUUGCAAGUACAAAGCAGUGUGAGACAAGCAGUCCUGAGGCUUUUUUAGUUUUUUCCACAUAGAUGCAGUUCUGACACAGGACCAGCAGAUGUCACUCUUCUGAUUGUAUCAAAUGCUUCGAAGCAAUGUGUCAUUCUUGAAGCAGAUGUGUCAAAGUGAAGCUUCGAUUUCACCAUCACUAGUUUACAGACCCCCAAAACGCCGUCUUCAUGUGGAUGAUAUGCAGAUUCGGCAAGAAACUUGUGCGUUUAGACCUCGGUUUGUCUUCGUGUGGAUGGGGCCUUAUUGUCUCAAACGUUUUCAUGUUGGGCUCAAUGUGAAGCUACAAUCAUCUGUGGCAUUGUGCUGUGUGAUAAAACUGCACCUUUCAGAGUGGCCUUUUAUUGUGGGCAGUCUAAGGCACAUCUGUGCACUAAUCAUGGUGUCUAAUCAGCAUCUUGAUAUGGCACACCUGUGAGGUGGGCGGCAGUCCAAGCGUAAAUCUGAUUCUAUGGACGCUUCCAGAGCUGCUGCACUUAAAGACACAUUCAGGAGAUUUUGUCGAAUAUUCCGAGCUUCAUUUGCGAAGAAGGUCCUGAAAUCUUCACUGCUGAGAGCUAAAGGAACAGAAGGCUCCACAGAGCUAUGAUGUAUUUCCAGUCUGGCAACAGGACUGAAACGAAACCUCUAAUCAAUCUAAUUAAUACAAAGGUGUGAAGUGUAAUUAUUCGAGGGUGUGACUGUGAAGCGAUGAGUCAUUUUGGAUCACAAAUACACCAUUAUUAGUCCGUGCAGGAGCUGCACUGACAUUUGUAAGUAUCACCUGCGGCAGAACCAAACCUGAUCAGGACAGCAUUGGAAAAAAAUGCUCCUCUCAAAACAAGAAAAAAAAAAAACUUAGUUCAAGGAACUUUUACCUUGAAAUAAGUGAAAAAAAUCUGCCAAUACAACAAGUGAAAAAUGUCUUGUUAAGAUUUCUUGAAAUAAGAUACAAUAUUUAGAAUAUUGACAUCUUAAAAUUAGUUGGGAAAACUUAUCUGUAUUUACCAGAAUUGUCAAGCUUAGGCGUCUUAAAAUAAGCCAGACACGCCAAGAAAAAAAAGAAAAAAAUCAUUUUUUCACUCAAAAAUAGAUUUUUGCUUUCAUGUAGCCUCCUAAUUUGAGAUGUACUAAACUUAUUUUGAGUUGUAUUAAAGUGGCACUUCUCUAGAUUUAAGACCAUCUUGUACUUAAAAUAGGAUUGCAAAGAUGAAUUUAAGCAUUUUGAGAUAUGUCUUCUCACAGUUAGCUAAAAAUCCUAAUAUCUAGUUAUGUUUUGACAGCAUUUGUUGCAUUUUAGGGUAAGCCAGAUAUACCCAAAAGCAAGUGUUUUUAACUCAAAAGCGGACAUCUGCUUUUUAAAUAUUCAUGUUGAGUACAAAAUGUAAGAUGUAUUUUACAUAUUUUAGGUUGUAUAUUAGCGACAUGACUCGAGAUUUAAGACCACCUUGUCCUUGAAACAAGAUCAAAAAGUGUGAUUUAAGCAUUUUAACAUAUCCGUCCGUAUACAGUUGGUUGAAAAUACAUUUGCUGCAAAUAUGACCAUGGUUCUUACUCUCAAAACUAUUUAAAAAAAACUCUACACUACGUAAAAAAGUCUAGUAUUGAAAUCAACAAUUUAUUUUUGAAUUUGCAUGCAACGCAUUAGCAAACUUGACAAAAAGAACUAAUUGGUGAUUUUCCAAUAAAACACAUUUACUUGAAUCAAGUGGUUUAUUUCUUAUAUCAAGAUUGUGUAGCUUCUACAAAUAACACCCGAGUUCAAAAAAUGUAUGAAAAGUAAAAUGAACCUUGUUUCUUGUAAAAUGCAACUCAAAACAAGAUCAUUUCACGAUUGUUUGACUUAAGAUAUUUAAGAUGCGUUGUCUUAAAACAAGUCCCUCUAUCUUGCUGAAAUGUCGCUUGUUAAGUGAAUUUAUCUUAAAUCAAGUGAGAUGAGACAUUUUGACUACAAAUAAGACAAAUAGACUUGGUAAGAUUUUGAGUUUUUGCAGUGAGCGACCUCUGACCUCUCUUGUAUUCCAGGAUUCAUGAGGAAGAACCUGGACCCCGUUAGCCAACACACAGAUGAAGAACUGUGGAACGCUCUGCAAGAGGUUCUCCAUGCAGGGGAGAUCCACGCCUAUGAUGAGCGUCAUAGCCAGCUACAAGAUUCAGACGGGAUCUUUCAGAAAAUGGUCGAGCAGACAAGCAGACGGGCAAACAGCAGCUAG